UACAACCGGAGACAAAUUUUCCAAUCCAAAUGAUAGGCUGCAAGUAUAUUUAUUCACUCAAAUGUGUACAUUCUGUCCAUAAAAUACUAUGUACAAGAGUUGUACAGAAAUGAUACAUGUUACAACAUACAGAUGCAUUAUAUUUGACUGAGACCAAACUAUUAUACAGAGGGACUGAGUACUUUUCCUGGAAAGAUUUUUUCUUUGAGGCUUCAAAAAUCCCCAGUAUAGCGCACGGCCUUCUCAAUAAAUACAUACAUAAAGAACACAGAUUUAACAGAUGCAUUAUAUUUGACUGAGACCAAAACUAUUAUACAGAGGGACUGAGUACUUUUCCUGGAAAGAUUUUUUCUUUGAGGCUUCAAAAAUCCCCAGUAUAGCGCACGGCCUUCUCAAUAAAUACA
rnacentral:lncRNA from 1 species